UGAAGAAAGCUGUGAACAUGCAUUUAUCCAAAUUACUUAAACCUGUCUUCACCUAGUUGCGCCUCCUCAACCUGGCUUGGCCAACGUGAAAGAACCUGCCCCACUCCAGCUGUGUCUUCCUCUGUGAUUAAUUCCUUGUGUAUUUAUACUUGUCUGUUCUCUGAGUUCUUUGUCAGUUGGUGGUCAAUGUAUCCUGCUCUUUGCAGCUGUUAUUUUUGCUCCCCGUGUUUCAAGUCAGGCAGUUCUGUUUUUGUCUUCGUCUGCCAGUAACCAGAGUCUGGUAAAUAAAUAUUUUCUUCAG